CCUACGGGCGGCUGCAGUCGAGAAUCAUUCACAAUGGGGGAAACCCUGAUGGUGCGACGCCGCGUGGGGGAAUGAAGGUCUUCGGAUUGUAAACCCCUGUCAUGUGGGAGCAAAUUAAAAAGAUAGUACCCCAAGAGGAAGAGACGGCUAACUCUGUGCCAGCAGCCGCGGUAAUACAGAGGUCUCAAGCGUUGUUCGGAAUCACUGGGCGUAAAGCGUGCGUAGGCUGUUUCGUAAGUCGUGUGUGAAAGGCGCGGGCUCAACCCGCGGACGGCACAUGAUACUGCGAGACUAGAGUAAUGGAGGGGGAACCGGAAUUCUCGGUGUAGCAGUGAAAUGCGUAGAUAUCGGGAGGAACACUCGUGGCGAAGGCGGGUUCCUGGACAUUAACUGACGCUGAGGCACGAAGGCCAGGGGAGCGAAAGGGAUUAGAUACCCGAGUAGUC
rnacentral:rRNA from 1 species